UGUCACAUCCUGUCUGACUCUUCAUUUCCAGUGGGGUCUCUGAAUCCUCACACUGCUCCAGUGGGAGAAAGCAUCACAUUUCAUUGUUCACAUUUCCUAGCUGAUGGAAACAUCAAAUAUUUCUGCAGAGACUCUUGUGUGGGUGAUAAUAUUCUCAUUCGAUCAGAGAUAGGAGAGAAUCCGACUGGCACAGGUAGAUACACUCUGUCUGAUGAAGGAUCAGACUUCACCGUGACCAUCACUGACCUGCGGUUAUCAGACUCUGGCACUUACAUCUGCGCAGUAGACAGAUUUUUUAAAGACACUUACAACUAUGUAACUCUACAUGUGAUUGAGGUUUCUACGUUAACACCUGUUCCAACAAGUGCAUCCAGACCUCCUGGAAGAAGAACAACUACAGAUAUAACCGAGAAUAAGAGAACAUCAGUGAUGAAGCGGUCAACUGUCAACACUUCGCCAAAAACCAUGAGCAGAUCAGCACUGUUUGAUCCUAUGGUUCUUGUUGGUGCUGCCCUUGGUGCUCUGGUGCUGAUUUGUACAGUCAUCCUGUUUAUCAAACUAAAGCAGAAGAGACGCUCCUCCAGUUUGACAUCGUCUGCACAUCAACCUGAUUUUCUGAUUUAUACCACACCAAAUGUCACUGCACAAACAGACAGUCUGAACUAUUCCUCUGUGAAGUUUAUCAAAGAACCCAACUGCAGUGUGAAGACCAAUGAAAUGUUUGAAAUGAACCCGAAUGAAGGGGUAGAAACCCUUUAUUCAUCUGUUCAAACUCAACACCAUUCAGGCAUCUUUGAUCCAAACUCAAUAAUCUAUUCCAUUGUUCAUAAAGGACAGUAG
ensembl:lncRNA